AGCUACACAGCGAUGUGAUGCUAAUCUCCAAACCAUGUCUCAGUUCGGAUCGGAGUCUGCAACUCGACUCCGUGAAGCUGGAUUCGCUAGUAAUCGCGCAUCGGCCAUGGCGCGGUGAAUACGUUCCCGGGCCUUGUACACACCGCCCGUCAAGCCAUGGGAGCCGGGGGUACCUGAAGUCCGUAACCGCGAGGAUCGGCCUAGGGUAAAACUGGUGACUGGGGCUAAGUCGUAACAAGGUAGC
rnacentral:rRNA from 1 species